ACCGGAAAUGACUCCUCAUCGCAUGGUGGGGGGUGGAAAGCUUUUUGUGGUUUUGGAUGGACUCGCGGCCUAUCAGCUUGUUGGUGAGGUAAUGGCUCACCAAGGCGACGACGGGUAGCCGGCCUGAGAGGGUGACCGGCCACACUGGGACUGAGACACGGCCCAGACUCCUACGGGAGGCAGCAGUGGGGAAUAUUGCACAAUGGGCGAAAGCCUGAUGCAGCGACGCCGCGUGAGGGAUGACGGCCUUCGGGUUGUAAACCUCUUUCAGUAGGGAAGAAGCGAAAGUGACGGUACCUGCAGAAGAAGCGCCGGCUAACUACGUGCCAGCAGCCGCGGUAAUACGUAGGGCGCAAGCGUUAUCCGGAAUUAUUGGGCGUAAAGAGCUCGUAGGCGGUUUGUCGCGUCUGCCGUGAAAGUCCGGGGCUCAACUCCGGAUCUGCGGUGGGUACGGGCAGACUAGAGUGA
rnacentral:rRNA from 1 species